rnacentral:lncRNA from 1 species
GUGCAGUGGUGCAACUUCUAGCGCUGACGCAGGCAGUCACUUCCUGCUGGUGGCUGCACCCACUGCGUCCCUCUUCCCUGCUGCCCAGGCUCCCUCCAGGCUUCCCACCUGCCUGUCCCCCCACCGGGGACAAGGACUCCACCAGCCUCUCCUAGGGGCUGGGCUGCAGGAGCCUCCAAGGGUCUGGCCAGGGGGUCAGGCCGGUCAGUGGCAGCCCCAUCCGCAGGGCUUCAGGAGCAGAGGGGCGGCCUGGCCACGGACCCCCACCCCGCAGUGAGGCGUGAGUUUAUGAGCAGGGAGAGGGGCACCACCCCUGAUGGACACGGCCUAUUCGGGCUGCUCCUGUGUCUUCACUGUACCAUAACCUUCUCCACCAGGUGGGACCCCAGGGAUCGCCUUCCAAAUCUGUUUGGGGCGCUGGCAUGAAGUGGGCAGCCAGGGGAGGUUAGGCUUGGGGGCGGGGUAGGGGUGGGUGAGGGUCACUCCAGACAAGCCUGUCCUGGUUGAAGCGGGUCACUAUACUCAGAGGACACGUUGCUGACGGUAAUGUCUGGACAGGCCAGCAGGGCGUGAGGGCGCUCAGAGAGACGUGGCGCCCGCAGGCAGAGGGACACACGCUCACGUGUGCACACACGCACCCUAGCGGGGCCCCCAGGACUCCCUGGAGACUGGGGUUUGCACCUCAGCUGCUGGAAGCCCUG